GAAAUGCGAUACGUAAUGUGAAUUGCAGAAUUCAGUGAAUCAUCGAAUCUUUGAACGCACAUUGCGCCUUCUGGUAUUCCGGGAGGCAUGCUUGUUUGAGUAUCAGUAAACACCUCGACUUUCCCCAUCCUCUCUCUUCAGAGAGAGGCUGUGGUGCAAGUUGGACUUGAGCACUUUCCAAACUCCCCCCUCAUAACUUGAUGAGAGGGAAUGUGCGGAAGGCUUAAAAUGCAGGUGCAGCUGGGAUUCCACACUUCAUUGUCCAAGGCUACAAGCAUUUCUGCUUAGUCCGGUCAAACGGAUUAUCUCAAAUCAAGUAAGACUACCCGCUGAACUUAA
rnacentral:misc_RNA from 1 species